GCCAAGCCAGAGUUGGAUGCCACAACCAUCACACCCAAAUGGAGAGCAGUGGGGUUGGCUGGAGCCAUGACCACCACCAGCAUGGGAUGGCCUGGAUGGACAUGGAUGGAAUUGAUGGACAUCAGUGGAAAGGAACAGUUGUUAUUUCUGGCUCAAUCACAGUGUCUCUGGGUGUGUGCCUGUUCCUGUGGAGCUGUGUGCAUGGAUUGCUGUGCAGAGCAUCCCAUGCUGGGAUCUCUGCUGGAAACCCAACCCCACUCCAGCCAACAUGGUAAGUGGACAGUCCUUUUCUUCACCACUUAAUCACCUGCCCAGUGAGUCACCACAGUCAGUCUGUACCUUGCUUAAGAUGUCUCUGCUUGGUUCUGUACUUUGUGUGGCACCUUGUAGGGGCAGCAACCCCUGUGCUGGGAUACCCUGCUCCUCUUGCUGCCCUCACCCCCCGUGUGCCAGGGCAGGGUCCCCUGGGGUGGCCCAGGCCCCUCAGCACAGCCAGGCCCUCUCUGUCCCCACGAGCAGAUCACGACAAGUGGUUCAAGUUUCUCCUACACUUGAUUCACACAAGCACUUUUUUGUUGUUUUCCAGUCCAUGUGAAAACCCUGGGGCUGGUGGAGUCUCUUUUCUUUGCUGUUAGCUACCUACACUGUACAAAUCAUUAAGGGGAUUGGUUUUUAUCAUUUUACUGGACUCUAUAUGGGAGAGGUGGGUUUCCCACCAAGAGGUUGGUUUUCCAAGAUUUGGCGAAAUGUUUAAUGUGUGUGUGAGGAUAAACUUUGCAGCUGGGGAGCACAGAAAGGCUGGUUUAGGCAAAAAUGUGCCCCAAGUACUUCCUAGAGAAACUGCCAGUCACGGUUUUAGCUCGGGGGAAAGAGCAGUACAGAAUACACAGAGGUUGGGGAGUUGCUUCUCAAGACAGUGCAGAGCUGGGGUGUACAUGUCAUGCUAAAAUAAACAGGUUGCACAGGAAAACUUGAAAUUUCAAAGUUGGGGUUUUUUUGUGUGUGAGUUGAUUGUAUCUUUAAGAAAAUUUCCCUUCAGGAAGUAGUACUAGAGUCAGUGAAGCUUCUUGUUUAAAACUGCAAUGUGAUGCCUGUUAGUAGCAUUUUCCUUUGCCUGCUCUCCCCACUUCCCAGCUGUGUGUUCAUUGCUUUUUUUUGGGAAUUGGUGAAAACGUAAUUGCUAGGAAGUCCCGUUCAUUCACUUAUCUUUGAGUGGUUUCCCAUGGCUGGGGCCACGCUGACCUGGUGGCUUUCAGAAGACUGAGGUGGAAAUAAUCCUUAGUUGAAGGGCAUUGCAGAGAAUCUGCAGCGGAUCUUUCCAACAGGACAUACACAAAGAACUCACAACUUUAUUUUCCCCUUUAAAGCACAGAAUACACCUAAAUGAAACUGCCUGGUAUUCAUUCGAAAUCUUUCAAAUCAUGGCAAUCCCUAAGCCCAGGCACAGAAAUAUGUAGAGAGCGAUAAAGUUUAAAAGUCUUACAGUUUUGGACUCUGGCUAAAAUAGUGACAAAUCCUCAACAGAAUACGACACAAAGGACCUGCAUUUCCAGCCACCUUCACCUGAGCUGUGCCAAGGCAGGCAGCGUGGGAUGUAUCAGGUCUGUAAGGGGCAGUCACUGGACGUUCUAAUGAACAUAUGAGCCCAGGGAGCUGACAGUGCAUUUCAUGAUCUCAGAGCACUGGCCAGAGUUCUUCCUGAUCCUGAAGAAGGUUUCCACGUAUUUAGAGCGGCCCAGAAGUUCCACAAAAUCCUCAUCGUGAGUUAUCACCAGGAGCUGGAAGUUACGCUGUUGGGAGCGGCUUUUUAUUAUCCUGCAAAGAGAUAUUGCCCAGUGUGCAUUUACCCAAAUUAUGUGCUCCUCUCAGGGAACUUGCAAACACAGAGCACAAAAAUUCAGCUGCCCAUAACGAAUGACACGAACCAUCGACCAACCCAAUGCUGAUGAGCCGCUCUUUUUACCCACAUUAAAAAAUCCCCUCUAUAAUUAUUUAAGAAAUAUCUUUUCCAGAUAGAGAGAAUUUAAGGCUACUGCUCUGCACGUGUAAUUGCAGAUGCCAUCCUGAAGUGUCAGAAGCAGAGCUCACUUACUCCACGAGGGCGUGUGCCAGAGACUCGAUGUUCUCUCUGUCCAGGUUGGUCGUAGGCUCGUCCAGUGCCAGGAUGGCACAGUUGAGACAGAACGUUUCUGCCAGAGCAAGGCGAAUGAUGAGAGAAGCGAGCACCUAAUGGAAAGAAAUAAAAACCAACACAAAAAUCUCACUCCUCAAAGUGCUUAAAGAGGUUCUACGUGUAAGGAACUAUUUUUAAUUCCAUUACGACCUGUGAGUGCAGCUUACGGAACAACGUGCCUAUAGUUCACAAAACGACAACAGCUGAUUAAUUACUGAAAAACUACAUUAAAGCUUCCAAGUUUGAACUGAAAGAUGGACUCUACAAAGAAGUCAAGUACUCAAAAUUCAGGAGCUAUUGGAAGUGAGGAUUCUAAUCUGAGGAAAGGAAGCUACCUGCAUUACCUCCACUCUCUGUGCAAGCCCAUCCUACUGCACGGGGAGGGUGGAAAUUUGUCUGCAUCACUAAGUUUGAGUGACUGAACUCCUGAUACUUACUAAAACUGAAGACAGUAGGGUUUGCCCCCUUACAUGUUCGUUUUGCAUCAACAUACCUAAUCAUACCUAUAAGAUCUUCUGAACUAGUGCGAAUUAUAGACCACUCGAUGGAAACUGUGCUGCCAAAAAUAUUUUCCAGCUAUCACGACUGCUGGCACCACAGUUCAUGAUCAAAGAAUUCUCAGAAUAUCGGCUCAGAAACGUGUUCAAGUUUCACUCUCAUUUACAUGGGACUGCAACGCAACAUCCUAAACUGCUCAGGGAGACAGCAGAGUGCAACAGGCAGGUGAAACGACCCUGCAGCCCCAGCGUGUGUGGGUGUGGCUGUGAUGAGCUGACCACAGCACUGCAUGGCUGCUGACAUCAGGGUGGUGCCAAAGCACCGAGACACAGGAAUGGGCAGAGCAGAGCUGCGAGCUGACAGCGCAGAAGGAAAGGCAAUACCUGGAAGGAUGGCUUGGUGUGAUCUUGGUGACAUGAACUGAAAGGUUACAGUCAGCAAUAGGAGAGAAACAAAAUGUGGAGGGAAAGAGGUCCUGUCAACUUAAGAGGCAGAUGCAAAAAGAAGACCAAAGGCUCAGGAAGAUAAAAGACCUGGGAAAAAUCGAUUGACCUAAAGCCGUGGUAACCUCAGACUGGGAGGAGUUGAACUCAAGGAGAGAGGGAAGUCAAAGCCUUCACCCCUGCAGGGAACCAGCCUGGUGCCCAACUGAAACCACAGAGGGUUCAGAUGUUCAGAAUCAUAAACUGCAGAGUAACAGAUUGACAUAACCCAGACAGGAGGGAGCUGGAGCCGCCUGGGCUUCGGUCACUUCUGAACAGGGGACUCCUCUGCAUGCCCUGGGUGUGCUCCCAGAGCCCCUGGUACUGAGCACAGCCAGCCCUCACCUUCUGCCCAGCACUGCACCUCCCUCGCAUGUCCAGGGCCGAAUCUCCCUUCACCAUCACCACCCUGUAAUUGUAGUUUCGUCUCUUAUCAGCGGCCGAGACGUUCUCGUCGGCGUCAGAACGGAUUUCUAUGUAUUCGAUAUCUGAAAAUGGGAAGGAGACAGAUUUUAUCAAAAAUCUUUCAAAAUAACACAGGAUUAACGGGAGAUGAGGUAUAAUAUCCAGGAACAACAACAAAAAUUCGCUUCAGAGCUCCCACUAAUAGAUACAUCUUUGAAAAUAAUUUUUCCAAAAUGGAAAGAAUGAACUCCUGCAUUUCCUCUGCCUCAAGGAAACCUUACCUUUGGAAAACACAGAAAAGGGAAAAUUAAUUCUAUUUAUCCUGCGACUUACUAUAUAAUGUGUAAUAACAAAAUUACAGUGGUGAAGAACACCAUAAAACCAGCUACAUUUCAGAUCCCAGGUUUUUCAUCGUGUGAACACUGCUCCAUAUGCAGUGCUCAAUAUCAAAUGGAUACACACGGGAUAAACUAAUAAAAAAUAUUACAAACCUUGUCCUCUGUAAAUUUUUCGCCAAAGGUCACGAAUUAUUUUGUUGAUUUCUUCCAUCUUCAUGCUAUGGAAUGUCAUUAUUGCUCUAAAGAACAGCAACAAAAACCACAAAAUGUUAGAGAUGAAACGAUGGACUGCUUUGGAUAAACACUUCUACUAAAAAUUGAGUAAAUACUAGUUCAUUUUGAAUGCAGAAGGAUCUGAAGACUAACACACACUGUUGUGUAAAUAAUUCUACUGUCAGAAACAGCUCAGUCUAAAGAAGUAGGAAAGUAAUGCAGACAAAGUUAUCUCCACUCAUUGCAUGGAGAGACUUUACGUGACUUUUGACAAGAACUGUAAUUUCUGUGUGAGGUUUAUUUUCAGAUGGACACCAAGAGGAUGAAUCUGAAGGUAAGCCCUCCAGAACAACAGUGUUACUCUUCAGUGCCAACAGCAAGAGGAAAGGACAACCUGAAGUCUUCCCAGAGCAGAGGAUUUUUAUCAAGAAUGUCACUUUAUAAUUACCCAAACAGGCAUUAUGACUAGAACUGCCCUUCUCUUCAGCAGCAAGAGUAACACAGAAUGUCAUUAAUAAUUUUGAAUUUAAUUUCCCUGGUGAAUAUAUCAGCAUGAUUUUAGAUUAUAAACAGAUGAAAUCCUACAAAGCAUUCAGGAAAGGACAGGACACUGCAUUUCUGACUUGUUUUUUUUUUAAAAAAAACUACUCUGUAAUAAAAAAAAUGCUUGCUCACUUUAUGGCAAGUGAACAUAGCACAAAAAACAUGGCAGAAAUAAAAUAAUCCUUCUGAAAUGCACUUUUACAUAUACUUUUCCCACUUCUGCUCUUCCACCUGUUCUGGGGAAUACUGAGGUAUCAAGUCUAAUAGGAAUUUGUUAAGUUAAAAAUGAAGUGUUUUCAACAAUUUACUAAAUGAACCCCAAGAAUGCAUUCCUCAUCAAUAUUUAUCACAACCUCUAAAUAUUGAGUCAAUAAAGAUCAGCUGAUAGCACAGAACACCCACAGUGCUGGCUUUCCCAGCCCCAUCCUCAGCUCUGGCCACUGGAGGCAUUUCAGCUCACCGAUUUUUCAGAUGAUUACCCAUAAGUGAUGCUUAUCUAUUUUUCUUGAAAUUACAAGACUGUUUUCCUGUUUAGCCUUAAAUAGAAACAAUAGAUGAUUUGACAGCAUACAAAAAGAGUCUAAUUCUAAAAAGGAAAUUCUUGGAGUGCAUUUCCAUUACAGCUGAAAGGGAAGAAUUAUACAUAUUAUGCUAUUUCACCAUUAUAACUGAGCAAACAGGGGCUUUUAGGGAGCCACAUGUUUUACUUUGCACAUGGUUACAAAUGUGGAGAUGCCCUUUUUGGCCAGUCAGUCCAAGACUAGCAAAUAAGCUUCCAGAGGAAACAGAAACAAUCACAAAGUUUGCUACACUUUCCAUCAAAUGCCAGACGUGUUUCUUGUGAUGUUGCCUUCUUUGAUAUAAGCACAAAACCACCCACACUGGAAAAGGGGAAAAAAACACCUCUAUAUUGUAAUAGUCUUUAUUAAAACACAACAGUUUACCUCAGAAGAUGAUCAUGGGAAACAAAAUAUCUACCUGGCAUAUCUUAUCGAUGUGAAGAUAUGACCAGAAGAUGCUAAAAGACACUGCUAUAGAAAUGAAAGUAGAAAGGCCCAGGUCAAUAAUCAAGGAUUUAAACAUGGAUUUCACCUUUCCUGAUCUCUCUCCAACUGCUGCACUGCAAAUAUGAGCCCUAACACAUACAACCAUGCAAACAAGUCCUGCAGAGAACUGGGAAUGGAAUUGUAACGAUCAUCAGACUUAUCUAUGUAUGACUGUAUUAAAAUCCAAUUAUUAUCAUCAAUGUAUUUACUAUUUGUACAUUAUAGACAUUAACUUACAGAUAUCCUACACCAUACCAAUCCUGUGCAGUUUCUAGUGUAUCUGCAUUAAUUUACUUAAAAAGUUGUACCUUGCUAUGUUAUCUUAAUAUUUAAAUGCCAACAUUUAUAAAGACAAGUUGUUAUGUA